ensembl:lncRNA
AUGUGUAGCACAACCUACAUAAAUACAUUCACUAUAUUUGUUUUCUUUGACUUCAGUUUUCACAUUGUUUGGAGGACGAAAUCGGGCAGGAUGCAGGGGCCCACAGUUUGGGCACGCAUACACAGGGCAGCUUUGGACACCCUAGGACAACAUGCUAAGAAGCACAGAUCUACCGAUAGCCCUCCAUCAUUCCCACAUCCAUCUUGCAACAAAGUUUCAUUAAGUGCAGUCCAUAACCAGUGUCUGCCAUACACCGUCUGCACCUUGUCCAUUGCAGAUGUUAUGGAUUAUUUUAUUAGAGAUCUUUCUAUUUUUUUUGAGACUGUUACUAUGUAGUCUGUUAUGUUGUGAAUAAAGUCAAACCCCCCCUCACCUCGAUGCUUUGAGCAGUUAAUACAUUAAAGUGUGUCCUUAAUGUUUUAUAAUUUAAAGAUUGUUUUAAAGUUUAUUACAGGCUCAGUGAAUUUUCUUUCACUAGAAAAUAAAGUGUAAUAUUAACUGUCAUAGUCAAGUAUGAGAUGUUUGUCAGUAUCAUUAAUUCUGUGAGGCAAUAUGAAUCAAAUGAACAUUUGUAUAGUGUUUUCAUCCAAAGGCUUCUUCCUCAUUCAGUUAAACAUCAAGGGUUUUCUUUGCCUUUGUCACCUCUAACUUUCUCAUUGGAAAUUUUGAUCAUCAUUAUUUGGAAGAAAAUAAGAAUAUGAAAAUGGCUUUGGAUUUCAAUGCAUUGCAUGGAGUCAAAGAAGCACCUGAAACGAACCUUUCACCUUCAUACAGACAUGGUAUAAAUUAAAGUGUUACUCAAAUUAUCAAGCUUGUAAUGUUAAUACUAGAAAUUCUAAACAGCAGUCAAGUGUGGUAGACUACAAAGGGUUUAAUUUAUGCUUUCUACAAGAUAACAGACAAGUAAUAUUAACCAAUGAUAACGCAAGUAAAAUUACAGUUAGCUUGAAAAGAGUCACUUUAAAUAAGAAACUGGGCUGACAUUUUUUUGCAUGUAUUUUUGUCUACGGAGGGAUCAAGCAAACAACGGUUGUGCAUGAUCAGGUUCCAAAAGGAGUUCGUGUGUGUGUUUAUGGUUGUAUUUGUAUUUUAUUUUAAAUACGUGUCUAGUUGGACGCGAGCGGCGCGAUGCAACGCAAUUGGAUAAUCGCUGAUAUUGCCUACUCUGGAAGCGGGGCGACCUGACAAAUCCCCGUCAGUAAAAUGAUUCCUCGUUCUAUUUCUGGCAUCUAUUUCGGUCGCGUCUGUGUGACAUGGUAGUGCUUUAAAAACUCCGGUUUUCCUCAUUUAUCUGCUUGCUCCGAUCGGCUCUGCGUGGCAGCACGUAAUUUCAAAUGUUUAAGAUUCAUCGUAUAGACGUCGUAUAGAGGUAAAGUAGACGGCUCAUUAACUGCUAAAAACGUUCGAUCGAAUGCGAUGUUCACCAGAUGCUACGAUCUUUCACAGACGUCUCCGCGACGUACCUGUGCUAUCUGGGAUAUUGACCUGGCGUUGUGUAGAUCUCUCCAGGAGGAGGAGGGCGGCCCUACCCCUAAUAUAGCGUGGUGGGAGAGCCGAAGGAAUACUUAUUGAAGUAGUCACAACGACGACAUCACUAGCUAGGCCGCAUAUUCCAUCGCCAGAUCCGAACCAAGCGAAGUGAAGGAAGACGGGUGUCCUUUUCGUACACUGAGUGUGGUGGGUGAGUCUUCGUGCUGUGAAAACCUAUAAUUUUGACGUGGUGUUGUAUAUUGCUGUGGGCUGCUGUGUAUUGCCGUGUGUCCUGUCAGAUAAACCCCCGCCUUCACGCACUUCGUCGCGGGAGGACAAGGAGACUGCUGGUCCUAGCCUAGUUCAGUACAGUAUAUGUUGUGAGCGUGCUUCAGAUCUCCGGAGAUAGCACGGUACGCUGUGUCCAGCCCAGAGGUGAAAGCCAUCCAAAGCAGAGUAACUGUGCUUGUGUCCAAGUUGAUACCUGUGGAGAGGAAAGGAAAGAGAGAGUGAAUAACACGAGGAGGAAUAGAGCGAACCCUGUACUUACAGUACGCUGUGUCCAGCCCAGAGGUGAGAGCCAUUCAAAGCAAACUAACUGUGCUAUUGUGCCUAAGUUGAUACCUGUGGAGAGAAAAGGAGAGAGAGUGGGUAACACGAGGAGAGACCGAGGAAACCUGUACUUACGCCGCUGCCUGUGGAGAAAGAGAAAGCGAGUGAGCACCCAAGGAACGAACUGUGUGAACCAGUACUUACUGUGAGCUGUAAUCAGCGAAGAGGUGAGAGCAAAACCAAGCUGAACUAACUGUGCCUGUGUGUCCCAGCCGUUGCCUGUGGAGGAAGAGAAAGAGAGUGAGCACCUCGAGAACGAACUGUGUGAACCAGUACUUACCGUGAGCUGUAUUCAGCGAAGAGGAGGAAGAAGGAGGGCGCUACGGAUACCUAAGACUCAGGCCGGGGCCCGAGUCCCACGCCCCGGAUCCCCGUGGCCCCCUUGCUCCCUGACCUCUUCCCGGCCAUAGCCCAUCUGGAGGGCCGAGUCAGAGUUUAGUUUUAAUUGCCCUUUCCCUAUUCCCCAAGCUAUUUUUAAAUAUUUAAAUAAAGAUUGUUUUAUCACUUACUUGUUCUCGUGUUGUUUGGCCAUUGGGUUGGCUUUGGGGACCUCCUCGAGGUGGAAGUUGAGAAGGGGUGUGGCUUAGUCAAAGCAUAGCCAGCCCCUGGGUGUGACAUUAAUGUUGUACAAAAUGUGUAUUUAAUCAUUUUUGUUAAUCUUGUCAGGAUACAAUUCCUUUAACAUUUUGCUGUCAACACAAUAGGAAAAAGUGUUGCAGAGAAGGAAAAAAAACAAAAAAAAAGUACUAAUAUAGCUGUUACUGCUGCUGGUGGGUUAAUCAAGGCGCACAAAGGAUAUAACAAAAAGGCUUUUAAUGAUCCACGGGAGAGAAAAGGGCACAUCCAAUAGUAAAUAACAUUAACAAUCAACGUAAACCUCAACAAUAGCGGACAAGGAGGAAGUAAACAAACAGGGCUUUUAAACACCAGGAAAGUAAUCAGAGGAGUGGAAACAGGUGGGGAGUAAUCAAUUAACAAAACGAGGAACGGAACAUGACCAAAUAGGGAUAACACAAAAGGAACAGAAAGUCCGUGACUGUGACAAUAGCCCAUUAGCUAUUUUUAUUAGUCUUGUCAAAAUACUAAAUUGGUAAGAAAAGUGUCACAGAAAAUAAAUACAACAUCUGUCAAUUAUUAUAGGCAAUAUAUAUUUAGCACAUCCACACUUUGCUCCAUCCUUAUUCUGCUCUGUCACUGAACACUUAUGCACAUGCUGACCCCACAUGUACAAUGUGUCACGCAGAAAGCACUGGUUCAUGCGUGCAGUGCAUGCAUAACAGUCCUGAGUGCAGGCUGUACCUGUGGUCAACAAGAAUAGAGCACAGAUAUGCCGUUCUGAAAGGAUGUCAGGAAAAAGAUAUUGUUAGACCAACCGCUCUCAUUCAAAUUACACCAAAGCAACAUUUGAACUGUUGUAAUAUAUUUUAUUAUAUUUGAUUUGUAUGAAGACCAAAAGCCCUCACAUCAGCAUUAUUUCCUAACUAUAUUACACUUCUUUCCAGGUGUAUUACAAUGGUGCUGAGACUGUCACAAUACACUGCCAGAAGGAACACAGAGCCGAGGAUAAGCGAAAUUAGACUAUUAAUCCAACACUGGGGUUAAUCCAAUGUGGAAACAGGAGGAAGACACACGUAUGUAACUUGUAGACCCGACAAACACAGACUGAACAGACUAGGACCUUUAAAAGACAGGAUAAUUGGGGAAACACAGGUGAGUGGAAUGACAAUUAACAGGGGCAUGGAACACAUGGGGAAGAAACUAGACACAUCUGGGAACUAAUCAAACCAAACACGGGAGACAGAAACUGGGUCAUGGGGCAAAAACAAACUAAAUGAAUCCAGGGGUGUGACAAUACGCCCCUCUCCCGUAAGGUGCAUCCUAGCACCGUAUAAAACAGAGGGAGGCAUGGGUGGGAACUUGGGAGGAGGUUCCGGGGGAGGACAAACUCCUGGGAGGGGUCCAGCAGACAGAGACCACGGAGGAAGGAGCCAGGGAGGAGACGAUGGAGGGAGGAGACAGGAGGAGCCCAGCAGGACCCAGGCCACAGCCAUAACAGCCCAAGGUGGAGCCAACGGUGGAAGGGGCCAUGGAAGAGGAAUGGCCGCCGACUCCAGGGGGCCGAGCAACAGCGGCAGAGCAGGUGGAGGAGCCUGAGACGGAGAGCUGAAGAGCCAGGGUGACGGGGAGGAUCCGGAGGUCCUAGGCGGAACUGAUGGCUCUGGCGACGACACAGAGAUGUGGAUCCAGAAAGCCGCAGUGGAGCCAGAGCGACAGAGGACUGAGGUGGAGCCGAGGGGAAGAAGGAGCCUGACAGAGCCAGAGGGAUGGAGGGGGAGAGAGGCGGAGCCGAAGGGACAAGGGAGCCAGGCGGAGCUUGUGGACUGCCGGGCCACGGCGCAGAGGAGGGAACUAGUCUCUUGCAUUAAUGAUACAAUGACAAAUACAUUAAACAGUUGCUUGUCCGCUGGUCUAACGUAAUUGAUACAAUCUUUAUUUGAAGCACCUUUAUUUGAAGUUACUUUCAAAAAGUGAUUUACUCUAUUAUUUUUAUCACUGUUAUCCAAACUAAAAACUUGUAUCGCAGUUCUUUGAUUAUCUAUGUUAAUUUGAAUAAUUUUAACAAAAAUAAUGAUACGGUGUGGUUGAAAAAUACAAUUUGUGAAGCUUUUUCAUAUCUAUGACUCUCUGGGUCAGCGGCAGCUGUUCGCUGUGAUCGACUGUACUUGCCCAAGGUUAAACAGACAGACAAAUCUGUCUUAAAUAGGUAUGAUAUUUUGUGGGUGUUUGAAGCGAGAUCGCAAUCUUUUAAUGAUUAAUUGUGCAACUCCAUUACUUCGUUAACAAGUAAUAAUUUCAAAUUGAUUUUUGUGGUUCUGAGUUUGAAAACUGUCUUACCCUCCAUCUCCAGAAACCAGUCCCGCCAGAAUGCAACGGUCCCUGGUCUCUUGUCUCCUUUUAUGGGAGCCUCUUGGUGAGCUGAAUUGUGGCUUGAACAGCUCCACAAUGCCAGCAGCAGUAAUUUGGGCAUCAGUUUUCAGGAAUUGUUCUUGAAAAACUGUUGGGUGAGCCACAAGCUCAUCUAGGAGCCCAAGGGCAUUUAGACCUUCUUUGAACCUAAAGUAAAGAUGGUAGUUGGAAAAAUAUUUUGUGUAAAUAUAUCACAGAGUAAAAUUUUUUAAACCAAUUUGA